UGCAAGUCGUACGCACUGGCCCAACUGAUUGAUGGUGCUUGCACCUGAUUGACGAUGGAUCACCAGUGAGUGGCGGACGGGUGAGUAACACGUAGGUAACCUGCCCCGGAGCGGGGGAUAACAUUUGGAAACAGAUGCUAAUACCGCAUAACAACAAAAGCCGCAUGGCUUUUGUUUGAAAGAUGGCUUUGGCUAUCACUCUGGGAUGGACCUGCGGUGCAUUAGCUAGUUGGUAAGGUAACGGCUUACCAAGGCGAUGAUGCAUAGCCGAGUU
rnacentral:rRNA from 1 species